AUUGAACGCUGGCGGCAGGCCUAACACAUGCAAGUCGAGCGGCAGCGGGAAAGUAGCUUGCUACUUUUGCCGGCGAGCGGCGGACGGGUGAGUAAUGCCUGGGAAAUUGCCCAGUCGAGGGGGAUAACAGUUGGAAACGACUGCUAAUACCGCAUACGCCCUACGGGGGAAAGCAGGGGACCUUCGGGCCUUGCGCGAUUGGAUAUGCCCAGGUGGGAUUAGCUAGUUGGUGAGGUAAUGGCUCACCAAGGCGACGAUCCCUAGCUGGUCGGAGGGGAUGAUCAGCCACACUGGAACUGAGACACGGUCCAGACUCCUACGGGAGGCAGCAGUGGGGAAUAUUGCACAAUGGGGGAAACCCUGAUGCAGCCAUGCCGCGUGUGUGAAGAAGGUCUUCGGGUUGUAAAGCACUUUCAGCGAGGAGGAAAGGUUGAUGCCUAAUACGUAUCAACUGUGACGUUACUCGCAGAAGAAGCACCGGCUAACUCCGUGCCAGCAGCCGCAGUAAAAC
rnacentral:rRNA from 1 species